CUAUCUCUCCACCACUACCUCUCUAUCUCUCCAUGUGAGAUUGGUUAUUUUCCUCCCUGAGUGCUCUCAAUGACUGGAGCGAUUGUAGAGUGUAUGGCUGUCCACCCAUGUGUGUCCUCAAGCAGUAGCCAUCUCGCAGCCUGCCUAUUCAAAACAAUAUUCAACAGCAAGAUCUGUGCCUAAUCACUGGGUGUCGUGCUGGUCGUAGGGACAGACAUGAAAUGAGGAUCGCUCUGGCAGUGAAGAUGAAUGGUCUCAUCAGGGAGAGAUCGCUCAUGCCUGAGCAUGAUAUCCUGUUUCCACCCAGGACUACAGUAAACCAACCCAGUAAAUGAACAAUCGCUGCCCUUCCUGGUGCGACCGCAUCCUCAUGUCUCACACUGCCCAAGACAUCAUCCACAGAAGGGAUGAGGGAGAGAGCAGUGUAGUGUACAACAUACGGUUUCCCGGUGACUACAUGAGAGACCACAAUGUAACAUUUGUUUAUAUAAUGUAAAAUGUCUUGUCUUGAAAAUGGCCCUCGAUCAUCAUGGUUGAUGCUCGUGUUUAAGCAACAACAAAAAAAGUCGACUGUCACGACUCCGACCGAAGGUGGCUCCCCUUCCCGUUC